UUUGAUCCUGGCUCAGGACGAACGCUGGCGGCGUGCCUAAUACAUGCAAGUCGAGCGGAUGAAAGGGAGCUUGCUCCUUGGAUUCAGCGGCGGACGGGUGAGUAACACGUGGGCAACCUGCCUGUAAGACUGGGAUAACUCCGGGAAACCGGGGCUAAUACCGGAUAACUUCUUUUCUCGCAUGGGGAGAGGUUGAAAGACGGUUUUGCUGUCACUUACAGAUGGGCCCGCGGCGCAUUAGCUAGUUGGUGGGGUAACGGCCUACCAAGGCGACGAUGCGUAGCCGACCUGAGAGGGUGAUCGGCCACACUGGGACUGAGACACGGCCCAGACUCCUACGGGAGGCAGCAGUAGGGAAUCUUCCGCAAUGGACGAAAGUCUGACGGAGCAACGCCGCGUGAGUGAUGAAGGCCUUCGGGUCGUAAAACUCUGUUAUCAGGGAAGAACAAGUGUCGUUUAACUGACGGCGCCUUGACGGUACCUGACCAGAAAGCCACGGCUAACUACGUGCCAGCAGCCGCGGUAAUACGUAGGUGGCAAGCGUUGUCCGGAAUUAUUGGGCGUAAAGCGCGCGCAGGCGGCUUCUUAAGUCUGAUGUGAAAGCCCACGGCUCAACCGUGGAGGGUCAUUGGAAACUGGGAGGCUUGAGUGCAGAAGAGAAGAGCGGAAUUCCACGUGUAGCGGUGAAAUGCGUAGAGAUGUGGAGGAACACCAGUGGCGAAGGCGGCUCUUUGGUCUGUAACUGACGCUGAGGCGCGAAAGCGUGGGGAGAGAACAGGAUUAGAUACCCUGGUAUUCCACGCCGUAAACGAUGAGUGCUAAGUGUUAGGGGGUUUCCGCCCCUUAGUGCUGCAGCAAACGCAUUAAGCACUCCGCCUGGGGAGUACGGCCGCAAGGCUGAAACUCAAAGGAAUUGACGG
rnacentral:rRNA from 1 species